GCCGGGCAUGGUGGCGCGUGCCUGUAAUCCCAGCUACUAGGGAGACUGAGGCAUGAGAAUCACUUGAACCCAGGAGUCGAGGUUGCAGGGAGCUGAGAUCGUGCCACUGCACUCCAACCUGGGUGACACAGUGAGACUAUGUCUCAA
rnacentral:SRP_RNA from 2 species